rnacentral:rRNA from 1 species
UACGUAGGUGGCAAGCGUUGUCCGGAUUUAUUGGGUUUAAAGGGUGCGUAGGCGGCCUUGUAAGUCAGUGCUGAAAUAUCCCGGCUUAACCGGGAGGGCGGCAUUGAUACUGCAGGGCUUGAGUAAAGUUGAGGUUGGCGGAAUUGACGGUGUAGCGGUGAAAUGCUUAGAUAUCGUCAAGAACACCGAUAGUGAAGACAGCUAACUAAGCUUUAACUGACGCUGAGGCACGAAGGUGUGGGGAUCAAACAGG